rnacentral:snoRNA from 1 species
UGGAUCAAUGAUGAGUAUUGGUGGAGGUACUGAAUCAAUGCCUUUGAUUAAGCCCUCUGUGUGACUCUGAGGUCCGU